rnacentral:tRNA from 8 species
AUGGUAGAUGACAAACUGGUUCGUCGCUCCCUUUGGGUGGGAGACAUAUAGCGUGUUCGAGUCGCGCCUACCAUA